GGGAGCUUGCUCCCUGAUUCAGCGGCGGACGGGUGAGUAAUGCCUAGGAAUCUGCCUGGUAGUGGGGGACAACGUCUCGAAAGGGACGCUAAUACCGCAUACGUCCUACGGGAGAAAGUGGGGGAUCUUCGGACCUCACGCUAUCAGAUGAGCCUAGGUCGGAUUAGCUAGUUGGUGAGGUAAUGGCUCACCAAGGCGACGAUCCGUAACUGGUCUGAGAGGAUGAUCAGUCACACUGGAACUGAGACACGGUCCAGACUCCUACGGGAGGCAGCAGUGGGGAAUAUUGGACAAUGGGCGAAAGCCUGAUCCAGCCAUGCCGCGUGUGUGAAGAAGGUCUUCGGAUUGUAAAGCACUUUAAGUUGGGAGGAAGGGCAUUAACCUAAUACGUUAGUGUUUUGACGUUACCGACAGAAUAAGCACCGGCUAACUCUGUGCCAGCAGCCGCGGUAAUACAGAGGGUGCAAGCGUUAAUCGGAAUUACUGGGCGUAAAGCGCGCGUAGGUGGUUUGUUAAGUUGGAUGUGAAAUCCCCGGGCUCAACCUGGGAACUGCAUCCAAAACUGGCAAGCUAGAGUAGGGCAGAGGGUGGUGGAAUUUCCUGUGUAGCGGUGAAAUGCGUAGAUAUAGGAAGGAACACCAGU
rnacentral:rRNA from 1 species